AGAGUUUGAUCAUGGCUCAGAUUGAACGCUGGCGGCAUGCCUUACACAUGCAAGUCGAACGCGAAAGGGGGGCAACCCCUGAGUAGAGUGGCGAACGGGUGAGUAAUACAUCGGAACAUUUCCUGUAGUGGGGGAUAACCUCGAGAAAUCGAGGCUAAUACCGCGUACGUCCUACGGGAGAAAGCAGGGGAUCGCAAGACCUUGCGCUAUAGGAGUGGCCGAUGUCGGAUUAGCUAGUUGGCGGGGUAAAAGCCCACCAAGGCGACGAUCCGUAGCUGGUCUGAGAGGAUGAUCAGCCACACUGGGACUGAGACACGGCCCAGACUCCUACGGGAGGCAGCAGUGGGGAAUUUUGGACAAUGGGCGCAAGCCUGAUCCAGCCAUGCCGCGUGAGUGAAGAAGGCCUUCGGGUUGUAAAGCUCUUUCGGCCGGGACGAAAUCGCACCUUCUAAUACAAGGUGUGGAUGACGGUACCGGAGUAAGAAGGACCGGCUAACUACGUGCCAGCAGCCGCGGUAAUACGUAGGGUCCGAGCGUUAAUCGGAAUUACUGGGCGUAAAGCGUGCGCAGGCGGUUUUGUAAGCCAGAUGUGAAAGCCCCGGGCUUAACCUGGGAAUGGCAUUUGGGACUGCAAGGCUGGAGUACGGCAGAGGGAGGUGGAAUUCCAGGUGUAGCAGUGAAAUGCGUAGAGAUCUGGAGGAACACCGAUGGCGAAGGCAGCCUCCUGGGCUAGUACUGACGCUCAUGCACGAAAGCGUGGGGAGCAAACAGGAUUAGAUACCCUAGUAGUCC
rnacentral:rRNA from 1 species